AAAAAAAAAAAAAAAAAAAGCUAAGCUUCCAUGGUAAAGAAGGAAACUAAAUUGAAAGUUUUGUUUCGUCGAAUGGAUCGAAGGAAGACUAUGACAGAUUCGAUUUGAUUGAAUAAUAUGCGUACGGAGGAUGAUGAGACGAAAGAGGAAGUUUGACGCUACUAUACUGCUAUUGAAGGCAUCUUGACGGAUAGAAAACCAGGAAGAAGAUAUUGAACUUGUAUCUACUAUGGAGUGAAAUCUUACAAAUUUUAGAGAUGAAAAAGAGUUUUCACUAUGCAUCCCUCAAAUUUCAAACAUGAAAGCAGAAAUAGAGAAGUUGCAGAAUCAGGAUCAAAUUGAAUAACUUCAAAACUAGAAAAAAUAUGAUUUAGAUUUAGUUUCUUAUUAUAAAAACUUUGAUUGUAGCUUUGACUUGUUACAAGCAACUUGGCUCGAUGAAAUUUUUUAAUUGUUUAAAAUCGGGUUAAUGAAACAUUGUUUUGUUGUGGUUUGACGUAAA